GGUUUGUUUGGGUGACUUGCGGAGGACAUUA
rnacentral:rRNA from 1 species